ensembl:snoRNA
UGUCCUUGACUUGGGUAGAGUGACGUCUGGUUGGUGCUGCCCAUCUCAUAAAAACCAGGGAAAAAUCAAUGCCUUAUUUAUUUCAGCUUGACUUUUGGUCAUGCCUAUUCCUGGUUUAUGCCUUGGACACAUGG